AAAUUGAAGAGUUUGAUCAUGGCUCAGAUUGAACGCUGGCGGCAGGCCUAACACAUGCAAGUCGAACGGUAACAGGAAGCAGCUUGCUGCUUCGCUGACGAGUGGCGGACGGGUGAGUAAUGUCUGGGAAACUGCCUGAUGGAGGGGGGUAACUACUGGAAACGGUAGCUAAUACCGCAUAAUGUCGCAAGACCAAAGAGGGGGACCUUCGGGCCUCUUGCCAUCGGAUGUGCCCAGAUGGGAUUAGCUUGUUGGUGGGGUAACGGCUCACC
rnacentral:rRNA from 1 species